GGCCUGCAGUGGGUACGGGCAGACUAGAGUGCGGUAGGGGAGAUUGGAAUUCCUGGUGUAGCGGUGGAAUGCGCAGAUAUCAGGAGGAACACCGAUGGCGAAGGCAGAUCUCUGGGCCGUAACUGACGCUGAGGAGCGAAAGGGUGGGGAGCAAACAGGCUUAGAUACCCUGGUAGUCCACCCCGUAAACGUUGGGAACUAGUUGUGGGGUCCAUUCCACGGAUUCCGUGACGCAGCUAACGCAUUAAGUUCCCCGCCUGGGGAGUACGGCCGCAAGGCUAAAACUCAAAGGAAUUGACGGGGACCCGCACAAGCGGCGGAGCAUGCGGAUUAAUUCGAUGCAACGCGAAGAACCUUACCAAGGCUUGACAUAUAGAGGAAACGUCUGGAAACAGUCGCCCCGCAAGGUCUCUAUACAGGUGGUGCAUGGUUGUCGUCAGCUCGUGUCGUGAGAUGUUGGGUUAAGUCCCGCAACGAGCGCAACCCUCGUUCUAUGUUGCCAGCACGUAAUGGUGGGAACUCAUGGGAUACUGCCGGGGUCAACUCGGAGGAAGGUGGGGAUGACGUCAAAUCAUCAUGCCCCUUAUGUCUUGGGCUUCACGCAUGCUACAAUGGCCGGUACAAAGGGCUGCAAUACCGUGAGGUGGAGCGAAUCCCAAAAAGCCGGUCCCAGUUCGGAUUGAGGUCUGCAACUCGACCUCAUGAAGUCGGAGUCGCUAGUAAUCGCAGAUCAGCAACGCUGCGGUGAAUACGUUCCCGGGUCUUGUACACACCGCCCGUCAAGUCAUGAAAGUCGGUAACACCUGAAGCCGGUGGCCUAACC
rnacentral:rRNA from 1 species